AGCAACAAAACAAACUCUGCCAACCUGCACCACGAAACAUAAGCGUUCCAGCCAAUAACCGACAAGAAGGAUUUGGUGGUGGGGGUCGGGGGGUUAGUGCGGAAGCACGGAAGGGAGAAAGAGGGGCGAGCUUUUACAG